CUGUUUAAAAGAUUGAAACAGCCCUCUAACACGCAGCAGUGCGUGUGCACAGCGACACCCAGUGGCGCGGAGGACUAUUCCCCUAACUGGUGGUGGAGCAAUUGAUGAGCUCUGGGAAUGAGGAAAAGUUGGUCACUUGCUGGCUCGGGUUGGGCGCCAGAGCUGUUCAUCUUUCGAGGGUGAUGGGGCCUCUGGGUGGGAGGCAGGCGGCGGCGACGGCGACGGCGGGAGCAGCAGCUGCGGGCUCAGGUGACACAGGCAGCUGGCGCAGGACGCGAGGUCAUUUGUUGGAAUCCAGUGUCCUGCUCGGUAGUAACAGUGGCAACUUCAUUAUCUACCGAGUGCUUCCUCCCAGCUGAAGUUCCUCGUAGGAGCCUGGAAGUGGACGGCGACAGGCCCAGCCAAGGAACAGGACGAUAGCCAGGAAGGGCAGGCUCCACCGCUGGGGUCAAAACGAGCCGAUUUGACGCCAAAGCCUUGUGUUGCCACCACUUCCAUGACAAAUCCUGGCGAUGACACGGUUCCCCGGGUUUUGCCACCUUUACUUUCAAAUGGAGAAAUGGUUGUCAGGGAAACCAGCUGGAGGCUUCUGUUUAUUUAUUUAUUUAUUUAUUUGGUAUCAGGAAUUGAACUCACAACCGCAUGCUUGCCUGGCAGAUGCUGUGCUACCAAGCUACAUCCCAGGCCCUUUGCUUGUUUGUUUGUUUGUUUUGUUUUGUUUUGGGUACUUGGAAUCCAACUCAGGACCUCGCUCUUGCCAGGCAAGCACCUGUGCCGCCGAGCUACAUCCCAGCCCUAUUUUGUUGUACUAUCCUGCCAGGCAUUCUGUUCAGCCAUCUCUACUUUUUCAGAUGUCUGAUUUGGGUGUGUUAAACCAAGGACCUAAGUGUCCAGCAACACAGCAGUUCAGCAAACCUCGUUUCCUGCUGGCUUCUUGCAAUCUGGUUUCAGUUCCCUUCCUCUUCUGCUUAACUCUCUCCCUUGGGAAUCAUCAUGACUGUCUUCUCCAUUAAACCAUGUGACCGGCUCUUAGCCCCUCCGUGGCCAUGGAUGGGGCCCACUCUUUCUGAGUCACUGUGUGUCUCGGCCCUUUCCCGAUGUUAUACCUAGCAUCUCAGACUGAGUAACACACAGAGAGCAGGAAUUUAUUUCUUGCAGUUCUGGAGUCUGGGUGGUUCAUGGUGGAGGAGAUGGCAGCCUAGUGUCAGGAGAAGGUUUGUGAGAUGGUGCCUGGUUGCCAUGUCCUCUGGAGAGGAUGAACGCUGUCCCCAUGUGGCCAAAGGGACGGAAGAGCACAAAGGGACCGAGUCUCUUAUGAGCACUGGUCCCAUCCAUGACAGCAUAGCCUCCGAGGCCUCAUGACCCCUGGAAGAGCCCACCACUCCAUGGCAUCACUGAGGGGAGAGGGUUCCAGCAUGAACUCGCUCCAGGGCACUGUGUUUGCGUUGUUCUCCUGCUCUUUGCUCCAUCAGCUCCCUCCUCACUAGGCACUUUUCUGUUCCAGGCCUUUCCUCCUCAUCUGCUUCUGUCUCAGCACUUCUCUCCAAAUUUCAACCAUGACCGUUAUGCAAACAAUCUUCUUCAGUCAGACCCUGGUUUGGCCUUAACUGCCCUCUGAACCACUUUUCCUCUGCCUACAGAAGCCGGCACUGCCUGAGGUUCAAGGCACUUAACUGAACUGGCCACCACUAUCAAAUGACCAUGCUAUUUCCACACCUCAUGUCUCCAGCCCACUUCCUUCCAGACCCUGGCUUGCUCUCCCAGCCUAACCACAUCUCUCUAAAGCCUGGCUGCCACCUGAGUCUGAGAGAUUACCUUCACCCACCACUCAGUCUGUGAACCCCAGCCCCACCGCCACCUCCACCCAGCCCAUCAGCAGCAGCUGACCUCAGUGUCAUCACCAGCAGCACGAUCACAUGUGCCCGGCUGGUUCCUGCUGGCAGCGCUAACCUCUGUAAAUCCCUUCCCCCAGGCUUUCCUGCUAACUAGCUCUCUGGUUCUCAAUCUUUGAGAACAACUGCUUUGUCCUUUAUGUAGGCUUUGCCAAAUUUCCCUUCAUGUCCUCCCUGUGAGUGCUGGUCUGCCCGUGAGUUCUAUCUUUUGUUCUCUUCUUUCUUCUCUCUUUUCAUUCUAUCCCCUUCAUAGUAACCCCUGUUAUCAUGCCAAAUACCUGGAUCCCUUUUCUGUCUUGGUAGGAGAUAGCAUUAGACUUCUCCUUCAGAGGAUAAAAAGAGAAGGAAUCUGUUUCCUGGCUGUCCUUGUAGUUAGGGCGGGACAGGAGCACAUGACCCAAACUCCAGCUAUAUCUGCCCAACCCUGGCCAGCAGGGGUCAUGGAAAGGCUAAAUGCCAGUGUGUGAGAGAGAGGGACUCAAGGGGCAGCACAGCCUCAGGCCUGCACCCCGUGUCCGCAGACCAGCUCUAGACAGGACUGUGGCCGUUAUUUCUAGCUGCACCUGAUCCUGUUUCUCCACCUCUCUGGAAAACAAUUUGCCCCACACAGUAUCUGGUUAGCAGUCUCUUUUCCUUCCAGGGUGGCUUCUAUCACAUGUGGCUAUGAAGCCCACACAAUUAAACCCGUGUACUCAUGGAUCCCAGAUCCAUCUCCCAACCUGAACAUGAAGUUGUAAGUCUCUAUCCAAUAUCCCAAUAGGAUCUCAAACUCUCCAGUCUAGAGAGUGACUCUUAAGGAUUUUUAUCAUGAAGCCCACGAUUCAGCCAGACAGAGUUUAUCUCCAUUUGAGGAAGAGAACGGCAUCUAGACUCAUCUCUAGUUUCCAGCCUCAUGCACUCUUUAGAAGGCUCUGGCUGUGCACAGCUCUGUGCCAGGUGCUGUGAUCUAUCCGAAGGGAAGCUGACCAGGAUCAAUAAGCCACAGCCUCUGACCUCAAAGACAUCCACAGUGUAGCGGGCUAAUUCUUUAAGAGAAGAAAAGAUCUGCUGUAAAUCCA